AAAGCUUCAUUGUCUCUACGUAGAACUUGGAUAAAACGCUCGGGAGAACAAAUACCAUAACGACAAUCACAGCAACUUACGGAGCAAUAAAGAUCCUUUAAACAAGUAUAUAUGUUUUCUUUCAUUCCAUAAGCAGAACAAUUGCUUUCGCCUACAACGAUUUGAUGCUUCGUCCCGGAUUCAGAGCCGACGUUACUAAUAUCGACACAGCCGCAAGAAUUUAUACCAUUGGACCCGUAUAAAGAGGACUUCCUAUUCUCCAUGCUCUUUUUCUUACUGUGUCGUGAGGAAGAUGAUUCAGGAUGGUUGGUUUUUGUACAAACGCUUUUAAAAUUUGGAGGAGCACUCGGAAGAGGAUACGAAUUUAAAGAAUCACGAAAGGGCUUUAAAUGGUAUAAAGAUACUAAGACAGAACUCACGUAACUAUUUCGUUAGAAAUUUACAAUCAUAAA